AUUAACCAUCUCAUUAAUAUGACGAUUUAUUUGAGAAUGCUUGGAAAUCGAAGCUCGUAUAACCAAUCAACGAAGUCUGGCAUGGAAAAGAGAGGAAAACACGUGAUGGAAGGACGAAGACGAGAGACAGAAAGACAGAGGAGGACCCCGGUUGAACGGGAGUGGCAGUUCUUGCGAUUAGCGAGCGACUAGGGGAAGCUCGGUGCCAGAGUCUGAGGUUUUAAUUAAGCAUUCACUGCGGAUGAUAUCGCAUGCCUCUUUAUACUUCAUAGCGGCCAGAUGUUGCUACGAGGACCUUCCUCGCCUUAGGUCCUCCGUGCCCCGCCGCCGUGCCACGCAAGGAACGUCGCUAUUUCGUUUUAAUUAUGCAUGUUUAAUUUGCUUAUAUCCUGGCCGCCGCUGAUACGCGGCGCGACUAGACGUUUCUGCCCGAGUUUCGCCACAGUUUCUCCUUGCAACCCUACUGACAAAGAUUUCUCGUGACCUGACGAUUCAUGGUAGCUGCUUCACGUUGCACCGUAUUUUGGGAAAAUUUGCAAUCGAAAUUUCCAGGCUAGAAGUGGCGUUAAAGUGGCGUGAUAAGGAAGACGUAUGGAUGUUAUCCACCUGCCAUUCUGAUGAUUUCGUUGGAACGAAAAAAAGUAAUUAUCAAACUGGCAAACCAAAG
rnacentral:misc_RNA from 1 species